rnacentral:rRNA from 1 species
GCCGCAUGGCCGCGGGAUUUCCGUAGGUGANACCUGCGGAAGGAUCAAUUAUACGUUACCAAAACACUCACACACUCACAAGAUGUGCGGAACAAUGUUUCGCUGGGUUUGUUGCGCUGCCGGGACAGGAUAUGCGCGCAGACCAUGCUAACCCGUGAUCAACACACAUCGCGUUUCUUUUUUUACAACUUUUAGCGAUGGAUGUCUCGGCUCAGGCAACGAUGAAGGACGCCGCAAAAUGCGAUAAGCUUUGUGAAUGGCAGAAUUCCGCGAAUCAACAGAACGCUGAACGCAUACUGCGCCUCCAGGUUAUUCCUGAAGGCACAUCUGAAUCAGGGCGUUUGUGUCAUAUUGUCGCAAUGUUCCAUCCUGUGAAUUUGCGACGUGCGUGUGCGUCAGCGACGACUUUCCGCUGGCGCAUGAAAUGCAAUCAAGGUGUUGGUCCGUGAACACUGGUGUGGUGCAGUAUCUGUUUCUUUCCAGUUUCACAUGGCCUGCUAGACUUGAGAAAGCUUUUUGUCCGCGCAUGAUUGCAGGUGAGAAUACCCGCUGAAUUUAAGCAUAUCAAU